UACGGAGGGAGCUAGCGUUGUUCGGAAUUACUGGGCGUAAAGCGCACGUAGGCGGCUUUGUAAGUUAGAGGUGAAAGCCCGGAGCUCAACUCCGGAAUUGCCUUUAAGACUGCAUCGCUUGAAUCCGGGAGAGGUGAGUGGAAUUCCGAGUGUAGAGGUGAAAUUCGUAGAUAUUCGGAAGAACACCAGUGGCGAAGGCGGCUCACUGGACCGGUAUUGACGCUGAGACGCGAAAGCGUGGGGAGCAAACAGG
rnacentral:rRNA from 1 species